UACGUAGGGUCCGAGCGUUGUCCGGAAUUAUUGGGCGUAAAGCGCGUGUAGGCGGCUUAGCAAGUCGGGCGUGAAAGCCCUCGGCUCAACCGAGGAAGUGCACCCGAAACUGCUGAGCUUGAGUGCCGGAGAGGAUGGCGGAAUACCCCAAGUAGAGGUGAAAUUCGUAGAUAUGGGGUGGAACACCGGUGGCGAAGGCGGCCAUCUGGACGGUAACUGACGCUGAGACGCGAAAGCGUGGGGAGCGAACAGG
rnacentral:rRNA from 1 species